rnacentral:rRNA from 1 species
UACGUAGGUGACAAGCGUUGUCCGGAUUUACUGGGCGUAAAGAGCGCGCAGGCGGUCGUUCAAGUCGAGUGUGAAAGCCCCCGGCUCAACUGGGGAGGGGUCACUCGAUACUGAUCGACUCGAAGGCAGGAGAGGGAAGUGGAAUUCCUGGUGUAGCGGUGAAAUGCGCAGAUAUCAGGAGGAACACCGGUGGCGAAGGCGGGUCUCUGGGCCGAUACUGACGCUGAGGAGCGAAAGCGUGGGGAGCGAACAGG